CUUGGAAGACUGUUAAGGCUGUUGAUUAAAUGGAGCUCAACCAAGCAGGAUGCCAGGGAGGCGCUUCCCGGAUGCACAGAACGAGGUGUGGAAGCCUUCUGCCUUCAGCUUUCCUGCGUUGAUCUGAAGUCCUCACUGACCACUCAAACUAACCCCAGGGAGGCUGAACUGCUGCUAUCCAGUUCCCCAAGGGGUUUGCCCAGCCUCAAAGCAAGGAGAGGAAGAGCUAGAGGGGAGCAGCUCCGAGUGAGACAGCUGCAAAGGGAAGGAGGUGCGGAGACAGGGAGGGAGAGAGCUAAACAGAUGGCUGGGGGAAGAGAUGGUGAAAGAGGAGCGAAGCAGACAGAUGGAGGACAGAGAGGAGUGGGGUGAGUGACAUAAGCAAUUCGCUGCUUGUUCAUAUUUAAUCAAGAAUUUGUUGCUGCCGCUAUUUGCAUUUUGGCAUUAUUUGUUUUACAGCAGUAACCAGGCCCUGCCAAAGGCCAGGGCACCGGGAGCUGCACGAACACCCGGGGGUUCAGCCCUGCUCCGAGGGCCAGGCCGGGCCGACGCGUCUCGCGGCUGGGAACCGGGGUGAGGAA
rnacentral:lncRNA from 1 species